rnacentral:lncRNA from 1 species
UCCCAUUUACCUAAUAUACACAUAAUCUAUUAUUGUUCCAAAAACAUUAAGAAGGAAGAGUCCUCUCUUCAAAAAUUGUUUACUUGAUUUUGUAGUAAUGCGUAAUUCAAAGCGUGCGGACUUGAUUCCUCAUAUAUUUUACAUUUCUGCCUUUAAAGAUUUAAAACAUUUUAAAUAUCCCCUACUCUCCUCUCCCUAAAGAGACACCAGCAAUGAAAAAUACAAAGCCUUUUUGAAUGGAGCUGUAACACAGGGAGGGACUACGGGGAGACCAAUCAACCUCGAAAAGCAGUAACACCACAAAUGAGAACAAAUAAGUGCGAUGACAGUUAAAGAUGUAUUGCCUGUGUAUGACGGGCUCCAUGUUAUUAAAAGGACACCAUCUAGAUAUUUUUCAUUUCAUUCUAUCACCAACCACUUGCUGUUUGUAAUCACCAACUGAGAAGAGGGUUAAUUUGCGGUUCAUGAAAAGGCAAAAUGAGUAGGCAAUUUGUACCACUCAGCAUGACAGUGUAAACUGAAUCAAGAUUAAUUUACAUGCAAAAGAACACUUAGGAGAGCAGCAUGAUGGAAGCCUGGAGGUGGAGCAGCCAUCUUGUGAUCACGAAGUUGACCAGCAUUUGCUAACAAAAUUAGCACAUGAAACAAAAAGCUGAAUGUUAGAAGUUUGUCAAGUUUCUUGAAAAAGUCGACUGGCAUUUAGCCUAGAAUCACAUUGAAUUUGAAGAUUAAUUUGAGGAUUUAUACUGCAAAUGGCGUUUACUUGCCUUUCUGUAUUGGCUGGAACUUCCAUUAUAAUGUGGAAUAUAGUGUGAGACAAGUUCUCGCUAUGCUGGCCAGGCUGGUCUUGAACUCCUGGCCUCGAGGGAUCCUCCCACCUUGGCCUUCCAAAGAGCUGGGAUAACAGGUCUCACUAUGUUACCCAGGCUGGAAAGCAGCGGCUAUUCACAGGUGCAAUCAUCGCGCACUGCAGCCUCUAAUUCCUGGGCUCAAGCUAUCCUCCCGCCUCAGCCUCCUGAGUAGCUGGGACUACAGGCAUGCAUCACCAUGCCUGGUUCUGUCUCAGAUUUAAGAAAAUAUUCUAUUACAGCAUAUCUUUGAGUAAUCCUUUCAGAAAAGAUGUGCAGGUGGUAAACUGAUUGAAUCCUUCGCUGAAAAAUGACUAUUUGGUAUCUUCAAAAUUUUAAAGGUCAUUUCCUUUACCUUCUGGCUUCCAGAACUGAUAAGAGUACUGAUGUGAAAUUUGAUUCCAUUCUCAUUCUUGUCCAUUUUUAGGUAAACUGCUUUUUUCUCUGCUUUGGAAGAUAAUAGGAUAUUCUUCUCCUUAUCAAAAAUUCACCAGGACGUGAUCUUUUUCAUAGUUUUUCAUAUUCACCCUGUUUGGCCCUCUUAAUCUGAAGGCUUGCGUGUUUCUUUUGUUGGGGCACAUGUUCAUUCAUUCACUCAUUACGGGCAGGGAUACACUCUGUCGCCUAGGCUGGAGUGUAGUGGUGCAAUCAUAGCUCACUGGAGCCUUGAACUCCUGGGUUCCAGUGAUCCUCCCACUUCAGUCUCCCAAGUGGCUAGGAUGACAAGUGUGUGCCACCAUACCUGGCUAACCCUUUUUGAUUUUUGGUAGAGACAAGGUCUUGCUAUGUUACCCAGGCUGGUCUUGAAACUCCUGGGCUCAAACAAUUCUCCCGCUUUGGCCUCCCAACGUGCUAGGGUUAUGGAUGUAAGCCACCACAUCCAGCAGAAAAUGUUCCUCUAUAAUUUAUUUUCUAAAUUAUUUCUUCCCUUCAUUGUCUUUUCUUUCCUGCCAGAGCUCCUAUGAGAUGAACUGAUCCUUCUAACUUUCCUUAUUUUCUGUCUCUGCCUUUUUGCUUUGUAUUCUAGUUGAUUUCCUUGACCCUUUCUUCCAGAACACUCGAUCAGUAUUCAGCUGUGUCCAUUCCAUUAUUCACCUACUGAGUUAGCAACUAUCAUUACUAUGGGUCUCCUCUCCCCUGGGUGGGCUGACUAAAGUUUUAUUUUUUAUAAGUGGACGAGAUACUAACUGGUUAUGUGGACAUGAAGUUGGAGGCAGGCAGGUAGGAAAUGGCCUUUCCUCCCCACCAGCAAACGUGACACUGGCUUUACCCUGGUGGUGAGGAUCUGAGAAUAUUUUGGAUACUCUCUUGGAUAAAACUAUAUUUCAUCUCAUCUCUGACCAUCCUUGCUUCCUUCACACAAACUCAAACCCUGCUCUGUUCUUGUAGGUCCCCACAUCCACACCAAAACGUCUUUCCCAGGCAAGUGGCUCAUUCUCUUUACAGUUUUAUUCUUAAGUCUCAAAUUAAAUGUGUAUGUUGCCUGCUGUCAGGGGUAAGAUUGGGGAACUAAGGGGCUGGAAGCAGUUAAUUCCCUGAUGACUGUCUUAAGACCCCUACUCAUGCUGUGCUUGAUGUUCUGCCAGAUUGGUUCUUACCAUUAUGGUAGUUUUCCCCCACGAGUGUUUUACCCUGUGAUUUUUAUUUUCUCUGUUAUUGUUUAUCUGCUCCUAUUUGUUUUCUGUCAAUAAUGCCUCAUAAUUUCUGGUCAGCUAAUGGCAUCUGUUCUUAUAUUUUCAGUGUUCAUUCACUAUUAAAGAAUGUAUUUUCUUUUUAAUGGAUCUUUGGACAAAAACAUGUGCUCAGUUCUCUAACUAGCACUAAGCUGUGUGACUUCCCACACUGGUUAAUGCAUGCAUGCCUGUGGGGGAUGAGGAUCUGUUUAUGUACUGCACUAACUUUUAGACAGAUAUAUUUAUGUAUAUUGCGCACAUAUUUGAUCUCAAUAAAUUUAAUCAAGAACUUAAUUUGAUGACCAUUUAAAAUCCAAGCAAAAAAGAGGCAAAAAUGCUUAUCAGAUAUACAUAUAACUACAUGGCUUAAUUUAACAGUUCUGUCUAUAUCUAUUUAUCCAUAGAUACAAUUAUAAUGAUAUAGAAUUAAUCCAGAAGCUAAAGUAGGAUCAUUUUACUCUAUUCUUUUUAUUCUAACUAAUAAAAGAGUAUCUGACAGGCUUUUGGUCCAUGUUCCCAGCAUUUCUGAAGGCUUCUUAUCAAAUAUGCUGUUAUUACCCAUAAUUUUAUGUAUCGAUUUGUAUAAUGUAUUUCAAGGAAAAAAUUCAAUAUCAGCCAUUCUUGUUUCUUUUUUUCUUUUUAUUGAACUACCAAGACUAAUACAGCACAUCACUAAGCAAAAAGUGCUAUUUACUAUGCAAAAGGCACAGUCAGUGAUUGGCAUCUAAGACCAAUUGAUCUACCCAUUACCACUAUCUCCCUACCCCCACAAGCAUUACUAUGAAGCUAUUGAUUUAAACACUGUCGAUCGGUUUCCAUUUUCUGAUUUUGGGCAGGCCAAUCAAGAAAGUGAGUAAUUGUGAUUACACUGCUUCAGGAUCAAUUACAUUUGAUGCAAGACAAAGUGCUCUUUUUGGAACACACACACAAAAUUUUUGAUCUAGCAUGCUGUUGUGCUUAACAAAAUCUAAAAUAAAUAAUUUGUAUCUUUAUAAUAACAAAACAUACUAAUGUAAAUGCUUUUAAUAGUCAAGAACAUUUUCUAUGUGAAAUACAUGAAUUAUUUUCCUAAUGUUAGUUUGAAAGAAAUUUAGAAAAAAUAUUAUUCACAUACACUCCUUGGCAUAAGAUAAAAAUCAAAUACUACCUGCAUAUAUAUCCAUCCUUAAAGAGACUUAGUUAAUUAUGAAAGACAAAAUGCAAAUCCUGUUCAAGAGACUAUAAAGGAAGUCUUUGUAAAUAAAAUUGGGGAAAAAAAUCCAAUUACAUAGGAAUCAAAAGGUUCUUUAUACAAAUUGAUAAGAAAAAGGAAUCUUUUUUAGUUCUUAAUUUUGGUCUAACUUGGUACGUGAGCUUUGUCAUUGGGUUCACAUUGUCCAAAUCAUUAAAAUGAAUAUACCUCUGGUGUCAGAGGCAAAUCUAUUUAGAGUGAUGUUACUCAUAGCCUGUUGUUCAGUAAUAUUGAUCUGUGUUGUUUGUCUAAUAGAAAAAUAAUAAACAAUUACUAGGCAAUGUUGGGAAAAGUAAUCAGUUUUUAUAUAUCACUAAUACAGCAGACCUCCCAAAACAUAAAGGUGAUGAUCUGCAUAAAAUCAAUGUGUUAUGCUACAUUGCUUAUAUUUAUCAUUGCAGGUUCUCGGCAAUAAAAGGUAUAACAUUAGGCCAGAAUUACUGGUAAACUGAAAAGGUAUAUGAAAAUGAAAAGUUCACUAUGUUUAAUCUAUACAUUUAUUUUAAAAUGUCUAUUUCUAAAACUUCAAGACUUUUAAAUCAUAACAAAUUCUGUUCUAAGCUAGCUAAAAUGUAGGUAAAAUGUCUCAAUUCUUUUUAGAAUAAAAACAAAGAAACUUCAACUCAAAAUAGCCAAUUGGGCCUUAUAUCAGAAAAAGAAAAGAGUUCAAAGAUAAUUCUCAAUGAUGCAUGAAUACGGCUUUGUUCUAAUUUGCUAAUAGCCUCUGAAUUUCACAAGAAAUGUAUAAAGCAUUAUAGAAAAACAUUAACAACAAAAUCCAAUCCUAAAAAAGCUCUUCUGAACAGCAUUCAGCUAUGAAACCUUUGCCAACUGCAUAAAUGUUCUCUUUUGACUUUUAUCAAAGCAGUUUGUAAAUGGAUGUAAAAAGGAAAAAAAAAAUGUGUGAGUUUUAGGUACUGAUGGCAUCAAUAAUAUUCCACUUAAGAAUCUCAAGAUAACAUGUAUGUAUAUCUCAAAAGAUAUCUUCUCUGAGCUAUUUAAUAAUAUUAUUAAUGCUUUUAAUUUCUCCUGGAUUUUCCUCAUGAAUUUUCUCAUAAAUUUUCUAAAACUGGAGUGAUAAGUUAAAAAUUACUUAGUAGUAGCUUCUUUCUUUAACCAACAAACCAUGGAUUUCAAUCACAUAUGGCAGGUUGUAAUGGCUAGGUGUGUAACGAAUGCUAAAAAUACAUAUACUACACACAAUUUGUACAACUAUUCCAAGGCAGUCUAAACAUUAUCAAAGCAAAACAUAUUUGUUUAAAUGUUUUGUCUUUCACACACACACAAAAGCUGUUGAAAGCUUAGUUUUUGAUCUGCUAUCCUUUACAGGUUAUAUAAAAAAUAGAAGAACAAUUGAACUUACCACAACUGGAAACUGGCAGUCUGAGUAGAAUCACAAAAGUCAAUACCCAUUGAAACUGUAAUGGAUCCCUCAGGCUCAAGAGAGUCUAGGAAAUAAGAUAAUUUAGACAUGAAAACACAGAGGAUGUGAAAAAGAGGCAAACUAAACACUGAAAAUUUAGGUAAUGUUUGUAGCUUGGUUGAAACUGUGAAAUGUAAUGAUGGCUUAAAAAUUUCAAACUAAGAAUAUUAAAGCAAAUUACAAAGUAACCUAACUAUUCUGUUUCAAGGUUUUCUUUUUCACAAAUUAAUUCUGCGCAUACACCAAUGAACACAUUAUACCCAUUUGUUUCAGAAAUACAUAUCUUCCUGAGAAAUGUCAUGUUUUCUAAUAUUAUCUCUAUAGGUACUGAAAAUGAGAAGGAAAUAAAUGUGUUCUUGUUUCGCAUACCUGUAAUGGACUUUGGGAGUUCAUAAGAGGUUAUGUACUUAAAACUAUGGCAUGUUUAUUCUAGAUAUAAAAAGUAAAUUUUAAACAAUGUCCAAAAUUUUCAAUGAAAAAAAUCCUAAAUUAAAAAAUGUAAAUCAAGUUGGAAGAAGAAAUUAAGAUGCACUCAGAAAUUAAUUAAGAGAUCUCACAUUGAAACCAAAAUGUUAAGUCUAAUUGCAUUAAAUACUCAAAAAAAUUUGUGGCAGAUUAGAUUAUCUUUAUAAAACAAAAAAUAAAAUGACAUUUGAUAGAUUUGGAAUUUCAGAAGCUUCAUCUAUCAACUAACCAAGUAUAGGAAAUAACUAUACCAAUAUACAAUACAGUAUUUUUUUUCAGUUAACAAUGACAAAACUUAAGGCAAACAAGAACAAAAUUUUAUUCUGCUUAUGAUUUGAAAGUUUAGCUAUAUCUUAGAAUAAUUGAGGGGAUCUUAAAUAAAUAUGUAUAUAUUUGUUUAUAUAUAGAAACUGUCCAUUUUUGAUUUCUACUUUGCUCAAAGUAUUCUGUAUAAUUGCAGCUAUACCAUACAAUCACUUUAUAUUUAGCUUUAUCUAUUCUCUAUACAUCCUAUCACACGUAGUUAUAUUUUAGCAAGCACACUUCUAAUUCAAUAGACUGUGACUAUUCUAGGGCUUCUUGGUAAGUAUGAUUUGCCAUUGAAUGCUAACCACGACAGAGAUGAUGGUACAGUCGGGAUAAAAUAAUAAUUCAAUAAGCUUCAUUUAUUAAGUAUUAUGUUUAUAUCUCAUAGGCUCAAUGAGGAGUAAGCAUUACAAGAGAGUAUUUGUUCAAUGCUGAUUUUAAAAUGCUAUUUGUUAGGCAAAGGAAGUAU